rnacentral:rRNA from 1 species
CGUGGUCGCUAGCCUUCGCCGUGUAAAGCCCCUUCGACGAGUCGAGUUGUUUGGGAAUGCAGCUCUAAAUGGGAGGUAAAUUUCUUCUAAAGCUAAAUACUGGCCAGAGACCGAUAGCGCACAAGUAGAGUGAUCGAAAGAUGAAAAGCACUUUGGAAAGAGAGUCAAAUAGCACGUGAAAUUGUUGAAAGGGAAGCGCUUGCAGCCAGACUUGCCUGUAGUUGCUUAUCCGGACUUUUGUCCGGUGCACUCUUCUGCGGGCAGGCCAGCAUCAGUUUAGGCGGUUGGAUAAAGGUCUCUAUCACGUACCUCCCUUCGGGGUUGGCCUUAUAGGGGAGACGACAUGCAACCAGCCUGAACUGAGGUCCGCGGAUGCUG